AUUUCAUCUCGCCCACUGUCGAAUUGUACCUUCUGGAAUUGAAAAGGCAUCUGGGACCAUGGAAGUUUGGACCCUCUGAGCUCUUACUCCUGCCAACCCUCUUUCUCAUGUGGUCAGUCACUCUCAGACACAGGAAACUGGCAACCUUUCCAUGAUGACUGGUCAUCUCCAGACUGUACUCUAAGCGGUGACCACCCAGUUCAAUGAUGAAUGCCAUUUGUCAACAAGGAAACAGGCCAGGCCAGAGGUGGAGGGGGGAAGCUGAGUUGAGAUCCAUUACUCCUAUGAGAAAAUUCAAAUGUUUAAUCUUAUCAACAGUGGGUCAGGAAUGUGCUGGAUGUAGACAGAGAUGUACAGUCUCCUGAAGCUCAGCCAGGUGCUGCAAGGGUCUUGAGCAGAAUGGGAGCCUGAGGGUGAAUGAAAGCAUGUGUCCCAGACUUUGGGAACAGCAUCACUGAUACAGAACAUGGCAGCAGGAAGGUACAAGGCCCAUCAGCUCUGGUGAUCUAGGUGGGUGGAGGUGGGCACCAACAUUGACGCAUCUUUGAGGUCUGACUGAUGGGUUUGGUCUAGCCAUUGGUUUGGGAUGAUAUCCUAAAAUCAGGUGGACCUUUCACUAAAAUGAAGAGCAGUGUGUCCUUCAAAACUUGGAGCUGAAAUGUGGGACCCCAUACAAUCGGGCUGGGUCUGGCAGCUCAUCAUCAGACCAUGUCAUAUGGAAAUAGCUGUGUCAUGGAGGUCCCUGGCACAAAAUAAAUUGUUCUAGCCUUGAGCCUUGAACCUUGACCGUGUCCACUUGAGACUUUGAGGCCACAAAACUCAAUCAAUUCACAACAACCCUAACCUGGAAGGUAAUACAGAGAGCUAGCUUUUCCACCAAAAUGUGUCCCCCACUUUGCAUAUGUAGAGUUGUCAUUGAUAUACACUUGUGCAACCAGAGACUACAUUUCCCAGCCAUCCGACUAGUUCUCUCAUCUACUGAAUGAGAGAGAAAAUAAUGUUUAUUCCUCCAAGACUAAGGCAUUUAAGAAGUACACCUGCUUGCCUCAUCUCUGUUCUCUUUCCUUUUAGACUGAAAACUGAGGACAUUCAAGCCCUAGGGCAGUGGUUCUCAGUGUGGUCCCUGGACCAGCAGUGUCUGCAACAUCUGGCACAUAGCCUUGUGAGGACACAGCAAGGAAGCAGCUGUCUACAAGCCAGGAAAAGAGGCCUCACCAGAAACCAGCCCUGCCAGCACUUUCAUCUUGGAUUUCCAGCCUCCAAAACUGCGUCUUCCGGAGAAACCCAAGCUAAGACAGAGACUAAAACCUGGAAAGGACAAGGAAUAUGACCAAGGUCACACUGCUGUUCAAUGCCAAAGCUGGGUCUACAAGCUGACUCCUGACUCCUCCUGCCCAUAGCUCAUUCUACUGCCCAGCAAAGAGAACUGUCACGGUAAUCCCAGGCCCAGGCUUACACGAGAGCCUUUCCCUGUGGGAUCCAAGGAAAGAGGCCCUCACCCUUAGUGAAGGGCUGGGCCAAGCCUGCAAUGUGGGUACCAGGACUAGGGCCCCAUUAUUUUCCUUCACCACUGUGCUCCAUCCCAUUACUGGGUCCUUGCAUUAGCACUGCCCAGCCCCGGGGCAUUACUUCUAAACCACUUCUCACCACCUCUCUUUGGAGCCUCAAACUUUCACCUCCCAAUACAGACAAUUCCAGCUGAAAGAGA
rnacentral:lncRNA from 13 species